AAUGACACAUUUUCCUCUAUUUCAUCAUUCUAUCUAACAAAUCAUUUUUAUUUUUAUUGUACUGUGAUUAUUUAUGAGGUUAUGAUAUAUUUCAUCGAAUGACCACCAUGGUAGGCAUUUUGUAUCUUUGUUUAGUAUCGGACCAUCAUUGCUUGAUUAACUGGCAGACAAUCAUGAAAUUUACCUAUCAUUUUUGUAACCGCAGAUCACCUUACUUUAAUCAGGCAACAGAGGAAGGAAGUUGCAAAGAAGCAUGAAGAGAAUAAAGAUCUCUGCAUUUUUCCUGACUGAGGUAUGAAGGAAAUUUAUUUUUUGGUGGAAAAAUCUUUCUUCGAUGUCAGAUCACUAUAAAGGAUGAGUUGCUCCACAGUGUCAUCAACGAGUACAACCACGCCGUGCUCACUAUGAUGAUGCGCAAUACAAGCUCUUGCCCUGUAAGUAUCCUGGAGAAAGAUUUGCAUCCAGUUCUCCGGUUCAAGUUCAAGCUCUUGCCCUGCAAGUAUUUUCGAGAAGAUCUGCUACAGUUCUCCGAUCGGUGCCACUCCAUUGUCAAUGGCGCUUCUCCAGCAACAACACGCAGAUCAUCUACACUAGCAACAAACCACCUGGGACACGCAAAGGAAAACUAGAUUCUGUCUUUUCCACUUCAUCACAAACCAAGCAGAAAGUAAAUCUAUCUACUGACCAGUGUAGCCGUAGUACCUAGGUCUUAAGUUAUGUAAGACAAUCAUCCUAAAUAAAACAAUACUCCAUAGUAAGUCUCUCUUUCUCUUCCCUUGUGUGCUAUAAAAAAUUGAAAAGACAAAGCACACAAAUGUUUGCACAAAUUUUCGGAAGGCAACUAACAAAUAUAUCAGCAGAGCGCGGCGUGCCGCGGUGCACAACCUGCUAGUGUAUACCUAUGUAUGUUGUGAUGUGGUACUGGACUUGUGAACCUACAAAUGUAUAUCGAUGUAUGUAUGAAGACAUGAUGUAUUGUUGAGAUAUAUUAUGAUGCAACUUUAGCUCUA